rnacentral:lncRNA from 1 species
GCCAUCAUGAAACAGAUGGAGAACAUGCUGCGGCUGCUGUCCACCCCAGACGCGCCUCUGGAGGACAGGCUGRAGAAGACUGUAAGCGCCUUGGCCGACCACGAAAACGGUGGCCUGCUGGGGGUGGUGUUUCACACUGCGCUCGCUCUGGUCCUGUCCCGGAGCCCCAUCGYUCACCUUCUCAGCAACAUCUGCUUCCAGCCUGGUGUGGUGAAGGGGUCCUACCUUCCCACCAUGCCUGAAGACCUGCUUUUUGAUGAGAAGAACUGGAAAAUCGGUUCCUCAGAUAAACUUUGGAGUAAGUAUCGGGGAAACAUGGCCACUUCCAGGCCCAUAGUGGGCGACAGGCAGGAGAGCUGCUAGGAAGGUGCCCUGGUAAGGACUGGCCACGGGACAGAGGGAGGGGACAAAAAAUGCCCCAAGGCCAACUCCAUGCGUCGGUCGAGUCCUUCACGCCCUCCUACCRGCUGGAGCAGCUCAGGGGCCAUUCUUGACAAGCUCUGUGAGGGUGCUGUGGUGGGGCCGGCUCUCAGGAGGUGGGAGUCCAGCCCAUCACCCUCUCAGUGAGCUUCACAGAGGACUUUGUGGCCUGGAGACGGCCAGCUAACGUGGUUCUCCUUCACCCGUAGCAUGCCAAUGUGGAUCGUACUGGAUCGUCACCGACUGUGGGCUCCCCAUGGAAGUGAAGGAAUGCACGUGCGGCGCCAGAGUUGGGGGCACCGACCACAAGCCCGAGAAGGGGUUCUCGAGGCAGGAGAUCACGGUGGAUAAAACGGAGAAAGGGUACCUCCUCGAGAGCCCUUCGUUGCGGAGGAACGACCUGGAGUGGUCCCUGUYGCCCGCCUGCAUGGGGCUUGCGAGGGCCCUGCUCCACUCGGCCMUGCUGCUGGGCGCCUGCGCCGAUAAAGCGGUGAGCGGAGACCUCCUGCCUCCUCGAAAAGCCAACGGCGCUGGCCCGUGCUGCGAGCGCUGGGGAGGAGGCUUGGUGGAGAGCUYCCUGAGGACCCGGCCCUGUCUCCCAGGCCAUCCUCGACCGGAUGAAAGAGAAGCCGGAGGACGUGGAAGGCUUCUUCUGGAGCCACCUGCAGAAGGACAUCAGCAGCCUGGCAGAGGCACUCGGCAGGAACACGGAGGACGCCAUGUUGACCAUCCGCCUGUUUCUCCAGCGCGUGAGUGA